rnacentral:tmRNA from 2 species
GGGGGUGUAUUUGGUUUCGACAAUAAUUUAGAAGUAUAAAUAGCGAGUAGUGGAUGGUUGCUUUGGCCACUAUAAAAAAGCAAAAAUAAAUAUAAACGCUGAUAAUAACGAAGAAUUAGCAUUCGCUGCUUAAUUUUAGCAGCACGUCUUAUCAUUAAUGCCCACGUUUUUGAAUAAGGCGACGAAUUAGUGGGAAACGAAACUAUUUUUUUCUAUAGGAAAUAGUGGGUAGAAAUAUAGAUACCUAGAAGUAAGUAUGUUUGUUUACGUAUUUUUAGGAAAUUUAAAUAACAAACUGCACUCGGAGAAAUUUAUAUGGAAGAGUUAUUGGACAGGAGUUCGACUCUCCUCACCUCCACCA